rnacentral:rRNA from 1 species
CGAGAAUUUUUCACAAUGGGCGCAAGCCUGAUGGAGCGACGCCGCGUGGGGGAUGAAUGGCUUCGGCCCGUAAACCCCUGUCAUUUGCGAUCAAACCUUGCUAUUUAAAAGAUGGCGAGCUGAUAGUAGCGAAAGAGGAAGGGACGGCUAACUCUGUGCCAGCAGCCGCGGUAAUACAGAGGUCCCAAGCGUUGUUCGGAUUCACUGGGCGUAAAGGGUGCGUAGGUGGUGGGGUAAGUCGGAUGUGAAAUCUCGGAGCUCAACUCCGAAAUGGCAUUGGAAACUACCCUGCUAGAGGGUCGGAGGGGGGACUGGAAUUCUCGGUGUAGCAGUGAAAUGCGUAGAUAUCGAGAGGAACACCAGUGGCGAAGGCGAGUCCCUGGACGACUCCUGACACUGAGGCACGAAAGCUAGGGGAGCAAACA